GUGCAUAAAGAUACACUUGUAAAGAUAUGACUAACCCUCUGGAGGAUUCAUGUGGACAAGCACCUUCACACAUGCAAACUUGUACACACAGUCAUCCCCUCCCCUUCGGCCCCCGUAACCCAGUACGAUUUCCUGCAAAUUCCAAAGUCAGAUCCCGGCUGGAACAUUUCAGCCCGCCUGCCACGUCAGUUUGCCGUUUUUCACUCUCUCUUUGCUUAUUGCAAAAGGCGACCAACAUAAAAAUGAACCAUCUUGGUUGUUUCUGGGCAAAGUGAAGCCACUAGCAUGGAUCUCAUCUUUAGUUUUGGUUUUGAGUAGUCAUCUAAUGGGGCUCUUUUUGGCAGAAGAAUGGAAACAACUAAACGAAUCAAGCUUCCAAGGGUAGCGACCUGCAGACGCAAUAACCUCUGGGUCCUUCCUCUCAGAAUCCUUCUCAUCCCCCCUACCCCGCCUGCCCAGUGUUCAGACUACCUGUUCCUCAGGGUACAGCUGAACAGUAGUCUGCACAUUGGUUAGGCUGGGCUGAGAUUCGCAAACACCUCCUGCCCCUGAUGGUAAUGGCACCACAUUUCCAUGAAGGAUAAGUGUGCCCACCUUGAUGAUCCCCACAGUAUCAUCAGUGUUUUGUUAAGUGUCAAAAACAUGAUCAACAUCUUUGUACAUUCUUUUGGUGCUGUGUUAUCAGCAUUAAAACAGAACUUUACUUACCUCUUCGUCUUUGUACCAGGACAGGGACUCAGCUGUCAGGACAAACCAGUACUCCUUGGAACCUCCUUUCAUGAUACUGAUGUUGAUGGUUAGCCAGCCUUUUCUGAUUACCUACACAAUGAGGAGAACGUGCGGGAGCGACAAGAGUUGCAGGGAGAGAGGGAUACCAGGAUGGAGGAAAACAGUUUUAACAAUCACGCUCAUGGAAUAUUGAUUUGUGGGUCUGAUUAAGUGCUGCAUUAGUGAUUUAUGGAAUCAGCUGAUAUUAAUAAAGUCUUACUCACUUACCUCUGAGAUAACAGUAAA